rnacentral:rRNA from 1 species
GAUGAACGCUAGCGGGAGGCCUAACACAUGCAAGCCGAGCGGUAUUUGUUCUUCGGAACAGAGAGUGCGGCGCACGGGUGCGGAACACGUGUGCAACCUGCCUUUAUCUGGGGGAUAGCCUUUCGAAAGGAAGAUUAAUACCCCAUAAUAUAUUGAGUGGCAUCACUUGAUAUUGAAAACUCCGGUGGAUAGAGAUGGGCACGCGCAAGAUUAGAUAGUUGGUGAGGUAACGGCUCACCAAGUCAAUGAUCUUUAGGGGGCCUGAGAGGGUGAUCCCCCACACUGGUACUGAGACACGGACCAGACUCCUACGGGAGGCAGCAGUGAGGAAUAUUGGACAAUGGGUUAGCGCCUGAUCCAGCCAUCCCGCGUGAAGGACGACGGCCCUAUGGGUUGUAAACUUCUUUUGUAUAGGGAUAAACCUACUCUCGUGAGAGUAGCUGAAGGUACUAUACGAAUAAGCACCGGCUAACUCCGUG